UAGAGAAAGAGAGGCCCGUGAGAGACGCAGACGCGUUUGCGUGUUUUGCGCGCUCUUCGCAACUGCACGCUCUGUCCCCGUCUCUAUGUUUCGCUCUUAUUUUGGUCUGC
ensembl:ncRNA F54E4.14 ncRNA